UGCAUCUCUGUGUGUGUAUGUGUGUAUACUUUCCUCUACUUAUGAUUUUCAACUUUUAAAGUUCUGAGGCAGGAAAACAGGGCCUGGAGGCAGGGCACUGAAGGCCAAUUCACACUGACUUCCUAGAACUGAAUCAAAAGGAAAACCCCACCUCUCCACACCCAAGUAACAAAAGGAUCAGAGGCUACCCCUUUGCACUCUGUGGCAGAUGAAAAAUUGAAAGUACCUCUGAUUAGUCCCCUCCCACAAUUGGUGGGAGGGUCAGACUGGUCACAUGCUACUCCUUCAUUUACAUAGGGUGUAACCAAGUAACCAAUGGGAAAACUUCUACAGGGUAUUUAAACGCCAGAAAAUUCUGUAACCAGUGCUCUUGAGCUACUUGCUUGAGCCUGCUCCCACUCUGUGGAGUAUACUUUCAUUUCAAUAAAUCUGGCUUUUAUUGCUUCAUUCUUUCAUUGCUUUGUUUGUGCAUUUUGUUCAAAACGUCAAGAACUUGGACAAUCUGUAGUCAAGGACCUCCACUGAUAACAGUUCCACAGAUACACGCAAAGACAAAGAACACAGAAAGCACAUCACCCACAAAAUGCAGAGUACUCUGGAAGGUAAGCUCCAUGACAGCAAGGAACUUAUCUGCCUUCACCAGGGAAAUGCCCCUACCAGGGCGCAAAACAGGGCCCUGUACAUAUGGAGUCUUGCUUUGUCGCCCAGGCUGGAGUGCAGCGGCACAAUCUCGACUUACUGCAACCUCCACCUCACGGGUUCAAGCGAUUCUGCUGCCUCAGCCACCCCAGGAGCUGGGAUUACGGGUGUCUGCCAUCACCCCUGGGUGAGCACACAGCAAGAAGGUAGCUGUCUGCAAGCUGGGAAGAGAGACCUAACCAAAACUUAACCACGCUGGCACCCUGAUCUCAGAAACUCAGUCUCCAGAACUGUGAGAAAAUAAAUGUCUGUUGUUUAAGCCACGCAGUCUGUGGUAUUUUGUUAUAGAAGACUGACUGAGCAGACUAAUACAAGGAUUUUGUAUUCUGACUGUGUCAUGUGUGACUUUGAGCAAUUAUUCAACUUCGCUGAGCUUGCAGUUUUCAUAGCUGCAAAAGGGGGACAGUAACAGUUUUCUUAUUGGAAUUAGUAGGGCUGAUGUACACAUUCUUUCUUUCACCUUCUUUCCUUUUUUGUAGCUAGAUAUUACCCUCAUUUGGCUCCGACUUACCCACAUGCAACUUGACUUUUCAUAGCCUCUAUCUGUCCUUGCUUUAUGAUAGAUACUUUGAAACUCCUGCUUAAUGCUUC
rnacentral:lncRNA from 1 species